rnacentral:rRNA from 1 species
UACGUAGGGGGCAAGCGUUGUCCGGAUUCAUUGGGCGUAAAGAGCGUGUAGGCGGCCAGGUAGGUCGGUUGUGAAAACUGGAGGCUCAACCUUCAGAGGUCGACCGAAACCAUCUGGCUAGAGUCCGGGAGAGGAGAGUGGAAUUCCUGGUGUAGCGGUGAAAUGCGCAGAUAUCAGGAAGAACACCGGUGGCGAAGGCGGCCUGCUGGGCAGUGGCUGACGCUGAGGCGCGACAGCGUGGGGAGCAAACAGG